rnacentral:ncRNA from 1 species
AGAACAAUGUAGGUAAGGGAAGUCGGCAAGUUCGAUCCGUAACUUCGGGACAAGGAUUGGCUCUGAGGACUGGGCCCGUCGGGCUGGGGUUCGAAGCGGGUGUGGCACUGCACCGAGACUGGCCGUGAAAGCGGUCCGGGCGGCCCGGACCGGACCAGCGUCGGGGCCUUCCCGUGGAAUGCACCGUUUCGGCGGGCAACUAACAGCCGACUCAGAGUGGUGAAGGGUUUCAUGAGGAAAUCGGCGGAGCCGACAACUCGUGUCCACCUCCU